CGUACCGCCGGGGUUCUGCAGGUCAGCUCGGUGUCGGUCGCCCGGACGACCUCGCAGUCCUCGCCGCCCACCGUUACCGUGGCGACACGUCCGAGGCCGAAGCCGCUCACCGUCAGCAGGGUGCCUCCUGGGCAGGAAGUCAGAAUGAAGACGCCGAAGCUGCAGGAAGCGUUUCCUCACCUGUGACCUCUUCCACGACACACCUGGAGCUUCCCACCACGAUGGAAGCAUUUUCCCAGCUGAAUCCCGUCCCAGUGAUAGUGAUCAGCGUUCCCAGUCCGUCGGAUCCUGGAAGGGUCAGGAAUAUUAGUCCAGGUGGAAGUUUCUUUCCUCACUGGGAAAGCUGCUAAGAUCUUCUAUUCACAUUUCCGAAGAGGACCAGGCGGAGUUGCCCUGACCCCACCUGCUGCUGCAGGGACCCACCUUGAGUCGGGCUGAUCCCCGUCACCACCGGCGUCUCCUCCUCCGACCAGCGGAAGCUGCAGCGUCCGGAGCAGUUGGAGGGAAUGCCGUUGAUGUAGACCUCCACCUGCAGAGCAGCACACCUGUCUGAAACACUGCAGUUGGC